GAUCCGUGAAUCAAGGGUGGAAAUGGA
rnacentral:piRNA from 1 species